AAUAUUCUCAUGACCAAAAUUAUUGAGCUAUUGCUGGUGGAAAAUAACAUUUUGGCAUAAAAAAUUCUCAUCCCGCUGGCGGCUUCAUUUCGCGCAUUUCACUCGAAGAACAAAUUCAUUUCGCGCUUUUGAGUUGGCUUUGGUCUUCUUCAUCACUCUUGGGCUACGCGACCAAUUUUCCAGUUCUCUUUCUUCCUAUGGCAGGUGACCCACGAUUUCAUCUUCUUACGGUCUUACCAGCAGCCGAAGCAUUUCUCCCAAAUCCCCACGCCGUCAUCGUUUGCCACCGUCGUGGCCCCAUCGCCUCCUGGAAUCCCGGAGACUGCAAAUGCAACAUGUCUUUUUAACCAAUUGAACCCUGGAUCUGUGCAGCACGUCCCCAUCAUAAAAAUAAGGAUAACAUGCUCCAGGUGAGUCUAAUAACUUGGGGAAUGGCAAUCAGACAGAACCGGGUUGCCAAGAAUACAGCCUACUGAUCGGUGGCAAUGUAAGGGGAGACUAAGGGCUAGAGAAACAGGUGAACGGUGCAAAAGAAAAAAAAAAUAUUUAAUUUUUUUUUUGUUGGUUUUUGUUGUCAGAAUGUACCAACUAUCUGUAUCUAUCUUGUUUGUCUCAAAACAUGUAGCAAUAUUUCCAGUGUGUACAAUUCAGAAAUUAGAUAAAAAAUUACCUGCCAAAAGAGAAUUUCUUGCAUGGU